rnacentral:rRNA from 1 species
CCAAGCACGCUUAACUGCGGAGUUUGGAUGCGAUCAUCAGAACUCCGCAGUUAAGCGUGCUUGGGCGAGAGUAGUACUAGGAUGGGUGACCCCCUGGGAAGUCCUCGUGUUGCAUGUC